UUCAGCUUCAAUGAAAAAGUCAGUAGGUAAGAAAUGAAUGCGGAUAUGUAUUCACAGCUGACUGCGCACGUACACGCCUUUUAAAAAACUGAUUCAAGACUCCAAGAAGUCAUCUGUUUCUAUGAAAAGAGGGUUCUUAUAAGUGAGCUCAAAUGUCUACAUCAACGGAACAUAAAAGACACCCUAGUAGUACUUCGCAACAACAAAACAGGUAGCCAGGUUUCUAAGCGCAGCAGGUACAUAGAGACCUAAACUAAACUAUCGACACCACAAUGCAGUGAAUAAAAAUCAACCUUGCUUCUUAUUUUUCACCAUACACCACACCUGAUUGCCUUUCUUUCAGGAGCUUCUUGCUACCUAAUUGUUCACUUUUUGUUUCGGAAUCAUGUACCAGUAGGUACUACAGUACACCAGUCACCACUACCUAUCAAAAGGAAUAGAAUUAAAUUAAUUUUCACUACUACCUAUGAUAGGAAUAAAUAAAAUAGACUAGAAACGUAAUGUAAAAACCAAAAUUCACAUAAUAUAAUCGUUGAAAAUACAA